ensembl:lncRNA
GGACAAUCACUUAUAUAAAAUACCAUCACACAGAUAUGACUAGAGGAAUCAGAGAAAAUGUUUUGGUUGGUUGGUUUUGGUUUUGUAAUAUUUCAGUUAUGAAAACUACAGGAACUAUAUGUUGCCAUGAUUGAGCACCAUAUCAAAACACACUUCCCAAAGGGAAGAACUAUUUUGGACCUGAACUAGAGUUCUGGUCCAAACACACUGACCCAGAGCUGGUGUGACUGGGUUGGCAGCCUUGACACUUGUCAACUUCAUCUCAGUCCAUCCUUUUAAAAAAUGGACUUGGUCAGUCUCCACCUUGUUACGCUGACCUGCAGCUAAACAGAUUCACUGAGGAACUGAUCCUUAUUGGUUCAGACAGGAACAGAGUUUGGGCUCUGCAAAGAAGCACACGCCAGCUCGGAUCACUGUCACAGACAUCAGAAGGAAGUUUGCCAAUUCAACCCCGAGCCUACUGUGACCCACAUUCCACAGUCCGUGUUUGUUUCAUUUUUAUAGCAACCUAUAGCAAAUUCAUAUUUGCUGGCAUCUUCUUCCUGAUGGGACUCUUCGUUUCAUAUGGCUUCAACGACACGAUCUAUCCUCCCUUCCAUGUGGAUGUAAAUUACACGAUUAAACACACAGACCUGAAGUAAUGGUCUGGAAGAGACAGCUAUGUUUCAGUUCAGGGGAAAGAGGUGGGUUGCACACAAACAGCCAAAAUUACAACUGUAACUGUAAAAUUACAACUGUAAGAAAAUGUUAUGUUCAGCAUUGUCUUGUUAAAAUAUCCAAGAAUUUCCCUGAAAAGGGCGUCAUCUGAAAUCGAGGGCUACUUACCUGGGAAGCUUUAUAUACCUUUCAGCACAGAAGCCACUAAUAUACCCCACUGCCAUCAGAGGCUUUUGAACUCAGUGCUGAACAAAAAGUCAGAUAAUCCCUCUUUAGUCUGGAUGAUGCGAUGUCCUUAUUUUUCAAAAAGAAUGUAACUUUUUGAUUUGUCUGCUGAUUGAAGCGUUUCUGGAUCAUGUUCACUUAUGGUGUCUUCUUGGCAUGACUUGAAGCUUUUUUUCUGUAUUUGUUGAUGGCACAGUGAACUGUGAUCACAGAGAGUGAUUUAGGCGUGUGUUGAGUCCGUGCAGUCAUUUCAACACAGAAUCAUCCCCAUUUUUAAUGCAGUGCAACUCGAGGGUCAUCUUUAAACUGUUUUUAAUUUUUUUAACCCAAAUGUAAAUAAAAUCUGUGCUUUUCAUCAGUCUAAAUAAUGUAUAUUAUGCAGGUGUUUCUCUUACCCAUCCAUCCAUUUGCUUCCGCUUAUCCUUUUUCAGCUUUUUCCACAAGCUGCAUGUCUUUGGACAGUGGGAGAAAGCCAGAGUACCAAGAGGGAACCCACGCAAACACGGGGCGAACAUGCAAACUCUACUCAGAAAGACCCCAGCCUGAUGUGGGAAUUUAACUCAGUCUCAGGUGGAAUUGCUGCGCUGGCUUCUCUCACUGGGUCCGCCUCUGGGCAGCAUUUCCCUAUAGUUCCCUCCUUCAUACACCUGCUUCACAUUUGCGAUCGAGUGCUGGGUAUAUCUGGCUGGUGGAUUCACCAGUUCUUUGCAG